CCUUCCACCCAGGUGAGACUAGGUUAGGUGAGGCUGCUACCUCUCAGACCCAGGUACUGUACACCUGCUGUCCAGGUAGCUCUCAGGUGAGAGACUCAGAUCUGGGUGUAUGGCUACUGGCCUGGUUAACUUAUAUUAACCAGAUAGGACCUACACAGGACAUCUCUCUAACUAUAACCCCUGAUGGUAACCCUCUCUCUCUGUGGCCAGGUGGAUCUCAGAGCCAGGUGAGAGUGAUGGUAACCCUCUCUCUCUGUGGCCAGGUGAAUCUCAGAGCCAGGUGAGAGUGAUGGUAACCCUCUCUCUCUGUGGCCAGGUGAAUCUCAGCGCCAGGUGAGAGUGUUGGGAACCCUCUCUCUGUGGCCAGGUGGAUCUCAGAGCCAGGUGAGAGUGAUGGUAACCCUCUCUCUGUGGCCAGGUGAAUCUCAGAGCCAGGUGAGAGUGUUGGUAACCCUCUCUCUGUGGCCAGGUAAAUCUCAGAACCAGGUGAGAGUGAUGGUAACCCUGUCUCUGUGGCCAGGUGGAUCUCAGAGCCAGGUGAGAGUGAUGGUAACCCUCUCUCUGUGGCCAGGUAAAUCUCAGAACCAGGUGAGAGUGAUGGUAACCCUGUCUCUGUGGCCAGGUGAAUCUCAGAGCCAGGUGAGAGUGAUGGUAACCCUCUCUCUGUGGCCAAGUGAAUCUCAGAGCCAGGUGAGAGUGAUGGUAACCCUCUCUCUGUGGCCAGGUGAAUCUCAGAGCCAGGUGAGAGUGAUGGUAACCCUCUCUCUGUGGCCAAAUGAAUCUCAGAGCCAGGUGAG